GACGAACGCUGGCGGCGUGCCUAAUACAUGCAAGUCGAACGCAGGGGGGACGGGUGAGUAACACGUGGGUAACCUCCCAUCAGAGGGGAUAACACUUGGAAACAGGUGCUAAACCGAUACUGAUGGAUGGAGCCGUGGUGAAUUAGCUAGUUGGUGAGGUAACGGCUCACAAAGGCAACGAUGCAUAGCCGGCCUGAGAGGGUGAUCAGCCACACUGGGACUGAGACACGGCCCAGACUCCUACGUGAGGCAGCAGUAGGGAAUCUUCGACAAUGGGCGAAAGUCUGACCAAGCAACGCCGCGUGAGUGAAGAAGGUUUUCGGAUCGUAAAGCUCUUUUGGUAGAGAAGCGGUAUCUAACCAAAAAGCCACGGCUAACUACGUGCCAGCCGCCGCGGUAAUUC
rnacentral:rRNA from 1 species